rnacentral:misc_RNA from 2 species
AACGCACCUUGCGCUCCUUGGUAUUCCGAGGAGCAUGCCUGUUUGAGUGUCAUUAAAUUCUCAACCUCACCAGUUUUGUAACGAGACAGGUGAAGGCUUGGAUGUGGGGGUUUUGCAGGCUGCCUCAGUGCUGGUCUGCUCCCCUGAAAUGCAUUAGCGAGCUCAUAUUGAGCUUCCGUCUAUUGGUGUGAUAAUUAUCUACGCCGUGGAUUGGACUCAUGCUUGCUUCUAACCGUCCGCAAGGACAAUUUACUUGACCAAUUUGACCUCAAAUCAGGUAGGACUACCCGCUGAACUUAA